GAAAAAAACUGGUUUGUCAGUUGUGGAGGUGCUUAAGAGGAGCAGUAUAAAGCCUUCAUUACCAAUUGUUGGUUAGCUGGGAACUGCAUGUUUUCAAGUGGAGAAUGCACAGGAAUGGAGCUGCUGUGCAAGGCCUGAACUGCAGAGGGUGGGAGCAGGAGCAUCCUCUGACAGCCCCAGGAACCCCCCCCCCUCCUGCCCUGCCAUCACCCCCUGCACACGCAGGGUUUGACUCUCCUGGGCAGUUUUGGCUGUAAGAAGAGAAGUUUCUGUCAGCCCUGCUGGCUGUGACAGGACCAGGGAGGAGCUGCACGGGCGUGUCCAGGAAGGUAAUUUUUCAGUGUGAACACUUUGUCAUUGGCUCGCUGCUUUUUGUCUUCCCACAGA
rnacentral:lncRNA from 1 species